GAUGAAGAACGUAGCGAAAUGCGAUAAGUAAUGUGAAUUGCAGAAUUCAGUGAAUCAUCGAAUCUUUGAACGCACCUUGCACCCUUUGGCAUUCUGAAGGGCAUGCUCGUUUGAGUGUCAUUGUACUCUCACACUCCCGAUCUUUGCAUUGGGAGCAGUGGACUUGGGUUUGCUGCUUCACCGUCGCUUACCUCAAAUAGGUUAGUGCAACUCUUGGUUGGACAUAGUACGGCGUGAUAAGUGUUCUUCGCCGGUGCCUCGCAAAGAGGGUGGCCGAUCGGGAUGUUGUGCUCCAAACCGUCUUCGGACAAUCUCUGACGACUUGACCUCAAAUCGAGUAAGACUACCCGCUGAACUUAAGCAUAUCAAUAAGCGGAGGA
rnacentral:misc_RNA from 1 species